GCCCGGCCAGCUUAGUCGGUAGAGCAUGAGACUCUUAACCUCAGGGUCGUGGGUCCAAGCUUCACGUGGGGCG
rnacentral:tRNA from 1 species